UGCUCUGUCUGCAGGUCUGCGUUUGGUCUCGUGUCUCUUCUGCUUCAGGUUUUGUGGACUUACGAUUGUUGCCUUGUUCCUGUUUUGGAUCUCCGUGUGCUUCAUGAACUGGCUGCUUCACCUUUAGUCUGGGACCAAUUCUUCUUUUGUUUCAUGGCGAUGAACACUGAGAAGACUAGUUCCUCUACUCCUGUGUCUGCACUUUGAAAUGAUAACAGUAUUAGCAUGACUGCGUAGAAAACACACGAAGUCUGACACGCCCACCAAACGGGAGAAAACAUACCUCGAAGUCCGUUGUUCCAAAGAAACAUGUCGUUCAAUCAGAAAACACUUGAUGGUCCCCCGUGUCCGAACAGAAUUAGGUAUAAAAGCCUUCGUGUUUGCGGCACCUUCUGCUUGGAACCUUCUUCAGAACUCGUUGAAACUGACUGACAACUCUGAAGGAUCUGGAGCAGGUGAACAUUGGUCACAUGAUCAGCUGGUUUCACCACUGCAGAAGGGUGAGGAGUGAUUUGCUGAUAAAGAUGUUCAGAGAAACAAGUGAAGAGGAGGAAGCAGCUUCAUCAUGUCUCAGUUUGUCCACCAGAUGGAGACAAACACCAGGAAACCCUCAACACUGCAGGAGGAAAAUAAAACAAACCAUUCUGUUUGGUAAAUGGAAUUGGCAGCUUUAUUAAUAAUUUAUGCAUAUUUAGUCAUUUGGUUGGUAUAAAGCUGUAAAGUACAAAAGAUCAACAGAUAUCAGGUUACACUCACCAGCAUGAAAAGUGCUUCAGAAUAAAGUUUGAGUCCAGGUCAAACCAACAAACCGUGAAACAGCAAAAAAUUCAUAUCAUACCAUAAAUGUGAAAUGGUUCUACUUCCUGUCACCAUCUUGGUGUUCAAACCUCCCAUGAUUCUCCGCUGCUCUCAAGCAGCACGCGGAGCUGAGAGAAGAAGAAGAAGAAGAAGGAGAGAGAAAGUUCUGUCUCGUCAUGCGGUCUGUGAAGGCCUGACGGCGGCGUCCUGAAGAGACGAUCAGAGGACACGCCAGGAUUGGACAUCUGGAGCCGCCACUCAAACCUGCAUUCAUUAACCUCCUCUGUUAAUUAAUUAGUGACACGUCAGGUUCAAUUAGGAGCAAUUAAAGAGGCGGAAUGAUGUUAAUCGACUCUGAUCACGUCGCCUGUCAGACCUGACCGGGGGCAGUGCGGCCUGUCAGACGAGCACGAGGGCCUCGGAGAAUCAGCAUUCACGAUUUCACUUUAAAUCUUUAAUUACUUUUUCUCAUUAAUACAAUCAAUCAAUAAUAAAAUCUGGUGUUUCAUUAAAAAAGUGAGACUGAAACUUUGUUCUUCUUGUUCUCUCACCUGAUGUUUUCUCACGCAGAAACAUAAAGAGAGAAAUCCACAAAGAAGAAACGGGAAAUGACUUCAGACUGAAACAGCCUGCCCUGCAGUGAACGCAGCGUGUCGAGUUCAGUGUCUCCAGUUUCUGCCUGUUUCACUCUGCUGGUUGGACGUCAGGGCUCAGCUCACGAGGAGUGACGAUGUUGUGUUCACCAGAAGAGACCAGAAGAUAUUUGAACACUAUUUUAAAGAAAUAUUCGGGGUCUGGGGGUCUGAG